rnacentral:rRNA from 1 species
GACGAACGCUGGCGGCGUGCUUAACACAUGCAAGUCGAACGGAAAGGCCCUGCUUUUGUGGGUUGCUCGAGUGGCGAACGGGUGAGUAACACGUGAGUAACCUGCCCUUGACUUUGUGAUAACUUCAGGAAACUGGGGCUCAUACCGGAUAUGAUCUCCUGCUGCAUGGUGUGGGUUGGAAAGUUUCGGCGGUUGGGGAUGGACUCGCGGCUUAUCAGCUUGUUGGUGGGGUAGUGGCUUACCAAGGCUUUGACGGGUAGCCUGCCUGAGAGGGUGACCGGCCACAUUGGGACUGAGAUACGGACCAGACUCCUACGGGAGGCAGCAGGGGGGAAUAUUGCACAAUGGGGCGAAGUCUGAUGCAGAAACGCCGCGUGCGGGAUGACGGCCUUCGGGUUGUAAACAGAUUUCGACGGUGACGAAGAGGGAGUGACGGUAAUGGGUAAAGAAGCAACGGCUAACUACGUG